UACGUAGGCAGCAAGCGUUGUUCGGAAUUACUGGGCGUAAAGAGUGUGUAGGCGGUGCUCUAAGUUCGGUGUGAAAUCUCCCGGCUUAACUGGGAGGGUGCGCCGGAAACUGGAGUGCUUGAGCGCGGGAGAGGAAAGCGGAAUUCCUGGUGUAGCGGUGAAAUGCGUAGAUAUCAGGAGGAACACCUGUGGUGUAGACGGCUUUCUGGACCGUAGCUGACGCUGAGACACGAAAGCGUGGGGAUCAAACAGG
rnacentral:rRNA from 1 species